rnacentral:misc_RNA from 1 species
CUAAGCACCACUCAUUUGAUAAAAUCAUCUGCAACUUGCACUUGAUAGACCUGAAUGAAUGUCUGGUUCCUAACAAUGACGAACUGGAGCUUAGAUCUGAAGGUGGCAAGCAUAUGCGAGUGUACAGGAAAGAAUGGAACUAUUUCUUAUGUGAUCUGACGAUAUCUCAUGAUGUAAAUUAAGAUAUCUCGUGGUGAUAGCAAAGAAAUAGGCUGCGUCAGAAAAAUAAAAGAGAGAGAAGUUCAGAAAGACAAGGGUACAUGGGAUGCAUGAUGCAUGGACGAAUUGCUUCGUCGAUUCAGCAUGGUCCUGUUGGCUACAAGUGGAGUUUGGUGGGCCUUUAUCUGCACCAGACAAUGCCACAGCGGGUUCGCAUUGGGCGGCCCUUCGUCGGCUCCUCCCAGACUAUCGGUUGCUGACCACGGUGGAGGUUGGUGAUGGGCGUACUACGGCUUUCUGGUAUGACUGCUGGCUGCCCUCAGGGCCCCUCGUGGAGGCAAUGCCGUCGCUGUACACACACGCACGACAUAAAAAUGCCUCAGUCAGCGACGUUCUUUCAAAAGGUCUGCGCCUCGCCUUCGUCUCUCGGCUCUCAACGGUAGCUGCUGCUGAACUGGUGCAAUUGAUGGGGCUGCUUGAUGGUGUGGUGUUAACAAAUACCCCAGAUGUACGUGUGUGUCCCUGGGAAGAC